UUUUGUGUUUUUUCAAAGGUUUUCUGUAGACAGUAGUACAUUGUAAAUAAGAAACAUAACCCAAAAAAAGAAAAAUGUUAUGGUUAAUCUAGUUUCCUCAAACUCAACAAUGCAGCUUAAUUAGCACAUUCAACUGGUCGAAUCAAACCUCAAAAAGAACACUAUCAAACAAUAACCUUAACUAUUAUAUAAAUAUCUCAUCCCACAAAAACACUAUCAAACAGUGAUGUAUUACAAGUAAAAAAACUCACAACAAUAAGCAACAACCACGAUUAACACAAUACAAACAGAGGGUUCUGAUACACAACAAUAAUAGCUUAUUUCAGCAAUUUGGCAGAUUACAUCACUUCGUAAAUCCACACGUCAAAGAAGCCCCUACCACAUGGACUCCCAUCCUGAAACACGAAAAAUUGCAGCAAUGUCAACUACAAGAUGGAGACAAAAUUGCAAUAAGGAAAACAAUCAAACAUAGACUAUGAUGCAAUAUUGUAGCAGGUAUAUUGUUUGCUAUUAAAUCAAAGAAAUCUGCAGUGAAAAUAUGAUGCAAUAAUGGAUUUUGCAAAGUAAAUACUUUCACUAAUUGUGGAACAAAAAUCAUGGUUGAGCAGAAUAAAUUGGUUACAUGUUAUUUUAGCUUUAGGAUUGUCUACCCAAAAACUAUGGUAUUCUGUAUCAUUUUACCUUUAGGUGUUAGAGACUACCCAAGUUUACAGCAGAGGAGAUGGAAAAUUCCUAUUAACAUAUGUAACCAAUUUACAGCCCCACAAGUGCACAAAUCACAAUAGAGACUAUUCAAAGAUUUUGAUAAAUAAAUAGUGGAUGAUACAUUUAGUUUUUAAAUUGUUUUGGCAUAAUUAAUGAUGAUGUUUUUGUCCAUGACAGCAAAUGAGGGUCCAUGGAAGAGGAGGAAAAAUAGACCUAUUUUGAGAUGGAGAAACCAAACUAGACAAAUAUAUACCUAUUGUUUAUAAUAUAUAGCUAGGUAGAUUCCAUUACCCUCUCACACAUAUACAAAUUAAAAAGCACUUCGCAAACCCAACGGCCUUUGGCUGUAGACUCCUUUCUAAGCAGCCCCUCCCCCAAAUUAGCUAGCAAAAAAAAUUAGAAGUUUGAGGAACCUUUAUUUUUAAAGCUACCGGAAAGACAGUAAGAUUUAUAUUUCUUGUUGGGGUAUGGAUUAUUUGGUAGGUGGUUCAUGUGGAGGAAUACUUCGCAUAUAGGAGAUUGGACUCGAUGGAUUCGGUGGGUUAUAGAGAACCAAGCAGUACUAGAUGAAUAUUGGGGGAAGUAGAAAAUACCUUGGGAGACAAAGAGAGACGGCGAGUUCGUCGAGUUUUUGGCUUCGUUUGGCCGGAAGCUUUGGGCUAGAGACGCGAUCAGGCGAGGUUUCAGCUUCGUAAGAGAGAGAGAGAGAGAGAGGUUUCGGCUUAAGAGAGAGAGAAAGACGCGAUUUGGCUUGAGAUCAGAUUAACACUUUCCUUUCCUUUCCCAACCGUUGGAUAUAAUCCACGGCUCAUAACAGAAGUUUGGAUUUUAAGUAAUGUCCGGGCGCCCAGACUAGAUCUUAACCGUAUAUAUAUAUAUAUAUAUAUAUAUAUAUAUAUAUAUAUAUAUAUAUAUAUAUAUAUAUAUAUAUAUAUAUAUUACAGAAAUUUAAUAAGAGGAAAAUGAUAAAUAAUAUUAUAAUAUUGUUAUUACAAUUAAAACGUAUCUUUUGAGUACAAACUGAGUACAGUAUAUUAAAAUUAUUGAAUUUAUGAAAAUAUAAUUUGCAUGAGUUCAUAAUUUAAUUAUAUGUAUUAUAUUUUAUUUUGAUAAUUAGAUCGGAUUUAGGGAGUUUAGCGGGUGAUAGUUGGAUUCGGCGAAUUAUUUUGGUACUAUAUUAAGGUACGGGUUCCGUACUUUUUCAGCGAUACUCUUUAAAAUUUAAUUCGUUCGUUUGUACUCGUUUAGAAAUUUGGUAUUAUCUCUCAGGAUUAUUCCUUGUUGUAAAAAUUAUUGAGAUAGUUUCAUUUUGGCUUUAAUAUUAGAAUUCGUAUUUGUACUCUUUGAACUAGUUAAUCGUGUCAAUAUGUUUUGGAGACUUUAUUCGUUUGUACCAUUGUUCGUAUAUUUUUGUUCACAUUCGGGAGUUAUUUUGAUCAUUGAUAUAUUAUGUUAAUUAAUAAUGUUUGUAUUUGAUAAUUCGAUUUCAUUUGAAUAUGGUCAUGUAAGCCUUGUGAUUUGAACCCCUUUUGGCUUACAUUUUGUAGUUUGAUCCUUAGGGUAUACUUGAGCUAACCACCUGUGGGGGUACCACAGGCAUGUCCUCUUGACACAAGGGCAUGACAGCUUCCAUGGCGGUGUGAUUAGUCCACAGCGUAUCCUUUUGUAUGCUCUGGGUAUGAGCUUUGGCCAUUUGAUAUAUUUGUUCAAGAUACGUAUGGGUCGACCCAGUAUUUGAUUUGAUUCGAUUUGUUUGGCGGAUUAGUGAUGUAUGUGUCGUGCGUACUAUCCGAUUUGAUUUGUAUACAUCAUGGUAUCGAUGUAUUUUAUUAGCCUUUGGCUAUUUGUAUUUGAGCUCAGUAUGAAACUAUUACCUUGCAACCAUUUGAUUCAGCCUUAUUUCAUUGGGAUAAUUUUUGGGUAUAAUUAUUCGUUCGAUAGUGUUAAUCAUUUGUAAAUGGUCUCACUAAUUUUGAUAUAUUCGUAAUUUGUUUGUAAUUCACUUAUAUUCAUUCAUUCGACUCUUUCAGUUACAUCAUAUAUUGUGAUAUAUUUGUUCAUCUUUAUAUCCAUACUGGGCAAUUGGCUCACAUUGUGUUCUUUUUCCGGCAGGUAAUCAGGGGUGAUCAGGAUAUGUGGGAUGAGAGCUACCUUUGAUCCAAUUGAGUAGAUUAGUUUCUAAGACUUAUUAUUAGACUUGGUUUUCUUAAUAUUUUGUAUAUGGAUAUUUGGGCAAUUUUGGUAUUUAUUUCUUAUUAGUAGAGAUUAUAUAAGUGUGGAGUUCCUUCUAUUUGGAGUACGUGACAAUUAGUGUUCAAUUUCAUUGGAAAUAUUUUGAGAUUUAUUAGAGGUUUGUGUUUAUUAUGUUUUGUGCGUGACAUUCCUUUUCCUUUUAAGGAAGGGGGUGUUACAGUAUAUCCAUGGCCUACAAUGCUACUGGUUGCGGGGAGGGACUGUCUAUGUCCAGACCUCCACUAUUUGAUGGUACCAACUUUGCCACCUG
rnacentral:lncRNA from 1 species